GAUGAACGCUGGCGGCGUGCCUAAUACAUGCAAGUCGAGCGAACGGACGAGAAGCUUGCUUCUCUGAUGUUAGCGGCGGACGGGUGAGUAACACGUGGAUAACCUACCUAUAAGACUGGGAUAACUUCGGGAAACCGGAGCUAAUACCGGAUAAUAUUUUGAACCGCAUGGUUCAAAAGUGAAAGACGGUCUUGCUGUCACUUAUAGAUGGAUCCGCGCUGCAUUAGCUAGUUGGUAAGGUAACGGCUUACCAAGGCAACGAUGCAUAGCCGACCUGAGAGGAUGAUCGGCCACACUGGAGCUGAGACACGGUCCAGACUCCUACGGGAGGCAGCAGUAGGGAAUCUUCCGCAAUGGGCGAAAGCCUGACGGAGCAACGCCGCGUGAGUGAUGAAGGUCUUCGGAUCGUAAAACUCUGUUAUUAGGGAAGAACAUAUGUGUAAGUAACUGUGCACAUCUUGACGGUACCUAAUCAGAAAGCCACGGCUAACUACGUG
rnacentral:rRNA from 1 species